GGUAGCUCAUGCUGUGUCCUGGGUGAGAUGCUCUUGCUGUGGCCUGGAGCUGCUCUGAGAGCAGCUCCAGCAUGUGGUAAAGGGCUUCUGUACCAUCCUGAUUUCCAGGCAUUUACUAAUCCCUGGAAAUGCAGAAAAGCUUUUUUCUAGGCUGCAGGAGGCUUCUGUGAUGGGGAGGACUUGCAAGUGCAUCACAGAAUCACUCUCACAGCUUGACAGCCUGGAAGGACAUGCUGUAGAUCUGGAGUUGGAUGAAUUCCUCUUGGAGUUUUGGAAGCAGGCCUGCAACGCCAGGGAGAACCAGAGACUUGGCAGGGAAAGCUUUCCCUUUCCAGGCGUGUAUGUUGUGUUUGAAGCCUGAAAUGAAAGCAAGUUUUUCCAGCCCUUUAAAACUUGAAGAAAUCUGUCCCUCUGACCCACCUUCUACCAUGAAAUAGUUUCCUUCCUAACACCUGUUGGAGGCUGACGCAGAAGUCUCUGUGUUGGCCUGUCCAGGGAGACACGGUGAGCUGGCAGGAGCCACCCCACAAUACCUCAGCAGUUAACACUUCAGCUCACAGUGAAAGCAGCUGCUUUGCUCCACGCCUCAUAAAGCCCUGAACAAACUUUUACACAUUUGUGCUGAGAGAAGGGAUAGAUACUCCUUAUCCGCUUCCCCGCCAGCGCGCAGCACAGCCCGGCAAUUCUGGCGGGGCCGUGGUUAUCAGGGGGAGACACCAAGCUGUCAAAUGGGAGGAGGCUCUUUGAAGUGUGGAGAUAAGGACCCUUCUGACCUUCAGUCAGGUAUGAAAGCCAUUUCCAGCGGCACGGAGCGUGUCCUUCCACUGGACUCCUCAUGGAAUUGCCCAGCUGAGUUCAUUCAGAUUCCUCAGAGGGGCUGGCAUUGGCAGCUGCAUCAUGGUGGUGCCUUGAGAAAGCACUUCUGCACAGUAUUUCUCAUGUAAGCAAAAGCUCUCAGCACUGAAAAUCUUCCCAAAAAAUUAUUCCCCUGAGCUGGUUUCCAUGCAGAUGCCCUCAAAGAAGAAGCCUGAGAUUCCUUGGUGCUGUUCCCUCUGUGCAAGUGGGCAGGAACUGGGUGCACUGACUGGCAAAUGUCUUUGAGACCAUGGAAGGACAGAAAAUCAGUGUGGAAGAAGUGAGCACACCGUGACUGCUGCCUUGACAUUGUGCCGAGCUGACAUCCCAACCGGUCUGACACUGAUGCCUUUGGGCAGAAAUCAGAGCCGGUUUGCUCCAUGCUCCGUGCAGCCACGACGCCUGUAGCGCCUCGCAGAGCCCCCAGUGCCCUGCUGGGGAAAUGGAGCGAGCACGUGGGCCCCAGAUGAACCCCGGCGAGAGCGCAGGCGUCACCCGCGCCCAUCCUCCUGCCCAUUUCCAGCUCUAAGUGUUCACAUUCACAUGGGUUUAUUUAUUUUUAUUUCCCCCUCCCUUUUCUCUCCCUUUUUCCCUUGCCUGCAAGAGGGUUGGUUUCCUGUUUCUCUCCCCACUGCAGAGUCCUUGGGGAGCUGGGUUUCUGUGAGCUGGAAAAGGAGCGCACAAGAGUCUGAUCAGCCCUUAUUAGUGUUGAGAAAGAUCUAAUGGGUCCUGGCUUCUGGGACCAUUACCUGUCAUUUACUUUUAUUAAGUCAGUGAUGAGAAAGUUUAAAAUUAAAGGCUUUGUAAAUUGGAUUCCAGUUCCAAAGGAAAGCACCGACCAGGAAAUCAGAGCCUAAGCUUGCAGAUGGACCACUGGGAACAGCACCAGUCUGGGGCAUUUCUCUUCAUCUGCUUUGACAAAGGUCCUGUGCCAGGGUGUGGAGGGGACACAGCCUCAGGGUGUCUAGAAACCUUCAGCUAUGUGAACCAUGUAAUCCCUCCUUUGCCAGGCUACUCAGGUUCAGACCUCCUGUUCAGGAGGAAGGGUGAUCUUCUGGCUUAGCCAUUACCCAGGCUGGGAGCUCUGUUCUGGCUGAAAUUAUCCCAGGCAGGUCACAUCAUCUCCCCAUGGUUCAUUUCCUGGUUUGUAAGGAGAAGGACCUUGUGCUAGUAUUGAUUUUGUUUCUUACCUGUUGCCUGGUUUGGGCACUCAGCUCUUUGGGGCUGGUACUCUCCUUGACUCUUGUGCUUACAAGAGAAGCUCCAACUCCUUUGAGUGUUCUAGGCAAAAAUAAAGACUUUUCUUAAGUCUGUAGCAAGUAAAAGGGGUGAGCCCCUUAGUUGAGAUAAAUAUCUAAUUCUUAGGAAUUGUAGCAUUGUUGUAUUCUCUGUUUUUGAGACUUAAUCUUUGAAUUAACCACCCAAACACACUUGUGAGUGAAACACCCCAAUUGCACUAAAGCAGUGCAGCCAAUUAUGGUGUGACAAGGAAAGCUCAGGGGCCAACCCCAACCAAGAGCUGCUGUCACUUCUGUUUUCUCAGCUGAAUAAAAGUCUCACGGUGACACUGCUCUGAUGAGAAGCAGCAUGAACUAGUGGUUAUAAGUACAGUCUGGGAAUCAGAAUUCUUGGUUAUUGUGUCUCAGUUUGCCUUUGACUGGAGUGACAUAGGAGAAGUUACCUAAGGUCAGGAUUUUAGGUUGUCUUGUGCCCAUUGUUAAAUACACAAGUUGUACUUACAUGGCUUUGCAUGAAGAUUGGAGGUCCACAAGAUGUUUGAGAGGUACAAAGCUCCACCAAAGCACAGGGCUUAGCCAGUUAGUAGGAAUUUGCAGAAUUAAGUGUUUGUCUCCUGAAGGGAGAAUGAAACAGAGAUUCCCUUUAAACUCAUGGUUUCUUGGAAAAGUUCACCUCAGGUUCUCCCUGCAUGGCUUGGCAGUUUUCAUGUCCCAGUGUUUUGCCUGUGUUGUUUAUCAUUAUUGUUGUUCUUAGUGUUGUUAUUAUUAUUAUUAUUAUUAUUAUUAUUAUUAUUAUUAUUAUUAUUAUAUCAUACUAUAUUUACUUUUAACAGAAGUGACAUUUGUGCAUAUUUGGAAGGGAUACCCUCUGCCCAUCCCUUCUAGCACCCCUAUAGCCAAGCUCCAGGUGUGAGUCCCCACUUUUAGAAAGAUUCCCCUGUUUUUAAAGAACCAGGACUGAGAGCAGAGGCUCACUCUGUACAAAUCCAAACCUUUCAUCUUCUUUGCCCAGAGAGAUUCCAAACCACACCACAGGAGGUGAGAAAAUAUACCCGGAGGAAAGUGUGACAGGGAGGGAUGGCUAAGGACAGGCAGGGAAGAGGCACUUGGACAACCCUGAACUCAGAAUUCCUGCCAAAUGAGGCUAAGCACGUGUUAACUCCAGGUCAUUCUUCCUGUCUGUCCACAGGCACAGCAGCACCUUGGCUUCAGCUAAUUGCCAGGUUCCCUUGAAGGAGGAGUGAUGCUUCUCCCAAGUUUCUCUGCUAGAGAUGUGAGGAGCUGAUCUCUGAGUUAUUCAGUGGUUUCUUACAUCAUUCCUGCAUUCCCAGCCGUGCCACAAGGCUUUCAGAAGACUGUGAAACCAAGAAUGAGAGACAAGCAUGAGCCUUCCUCCAGCCCCUUGUGUCAUCUGGGCAUGCUCGUGCCACGUGUCACUGCAGACAGCUGGGACAUCUGGAACGGGUUCAUGAAAGUUCCUCUGUCUGGUUCAGUGCCUGGUCACAGCGAGUUUUCCUGGCACAAGUGAGUGGAAAGAGCACUUUGGCAUGGAGAGGAAAUGAGCAGCAGAGGGUGAAAGGUGUCCUGGCAGGCACUUCCCAUUUGUGUCCUUAUCUCCCAGCCUGCAGCCGUCUUCAAAGGCUUCCCAGCUCCUGUGUCCUGCAAGUUCAAAACCCUGCAGCCCACUGGGACUGGAGAAGUGUGAAGGAGCACAAGGAUUGGAGUUGAAUGACAGUCCUUUCCUUCUGACUUGGAAAUCUGCUAGGUUGCUGCUGUUUUUCUCAGAGAUGAUCCUUGGCUCACUAUCAAGUGAAUUGCUAAUGAAUUAGUUACACUUACAUUUUUAAAAAAGAGAUGUGAGUCUGGGGACACCCGAGGAAUUCUUCCUCAGCCAGAAAGAGAUCCUCAUUGAAAUGGACUCCAGGAAGUUGAAUUAGAUGAUCAGGGCAUUUUGGUGCCCUUGAAGACAAGGAAAGAUGAGGGUAGAGAGAGGAAGAUAAGAAGAGUAAGCAAGCAGUGUUGUUUGCCAUUCCAGGAUAAAUACGGAGCCGCCUGCCCCUGGGGGCCAUGCACUGUGUUCCUCCCCCCAGAGUGUGCAAAUAUUUGCAGCAGAGCAGCCUCUGAGCCCUGAGACGUGAGCAGCGACACGAGGAGGUGCAGCCCAGGGCAGGGGCAAGGCCAGAGGGUGUGAAAGCAGCACAAGCC